AUAGCUAAUACCGCAUAACAAUGGAUGACACAUGUCAUUAUUUNAAAGGGGCAAUUGCUCCACUACAAGAUGGACCUGCGUUGUAUUAGCUAGUAGGUGAGGUAAUGGCUCACCUAGGCGACGAUACAUAGCCGACCUGAGAGGGUGAUCGGCCACACUGGGACUGAGACACGGCCCAGACUCCUACGGGAGGCAGCAUG
rnacentral:rRNA from 1 species